CGCUUUUCCAUCGUAGGGCCUAACUUAGAGCCCCUUAAUCAAGCCCCACACCAUCAGCCCAGGUGUCAGGCAGAGCAGUGUGGAGGGGCCCAGGACAUUUGCUCUCCCUCCAUGUGGAAAGGCUCAUAAACCUUCCGGAGCAUCUGGUGGUGUUGGCAGGACUACAAAAGGCCAAGAAAAUGAAUGGAGAAAAGAAUCCUGAGGACUUGGGGGAGAGCAGGGACACAAGACGGCAAAGGCCUGGUGCCCUGAAUCACUGCAUGGAUCAGAAUCAUCACAUCGACCUGCACUGGACUUCAUCCCAGCUGCUCAUCCUUCAGGGAGAUGUUGGUGCCAGAAUAUACCUCUGUGCUUUCUUCUUCCCUGAGUGACAUACACUGAUGGGUCACUGCCUGUAACAGCCGAGUAGAGCGUGGUGUGUGUCCACCCGUGAAGAUCCCUGGUUGUUUACUCUUGUCUCGUUACCAUCUGGCAGCAUCAGAUACCAAUCUUCAUUAAAAACAAAACAACCAACCAACCAAAAAAAUAAAAACACCCCAAAACAAUGCAAAAAAUUUAAAAAAUCAAGAAAAAGUCUCUCUUUAAAUUAAUAGUUAACAUUUAUUGAGUGCUUAC